UACGUAGGUGGCAAGCGUUGUCCGGAUUUACUGGGCGUAAAGAGCGCGCAGGCGGUCAGAUAAGUCGAAUGUGAAAGCCCCCGGCUCAACUGGGGAGGGUCAUUCGAUACUGUUCGACUCGAAGGCAGGAGAGGGAAGUGGAAUUCCCGGUGUAGUGGUGAAAUGCGUAGAUAUCAGGAGGAACACCGGUGGCGAAGGCGGGUCUCUGGGCAGUAACUGACGCUGAGGAGCGAAAGCGUGGGGAGCGAACAGG
rnacentral:rRNA from 1 species